rnacentral:RNase_P_RNA from 1 species
AGUUGGGCAGAUUGUCGCUGCGUGUCUAUGAUGGGCACGGAGAGGAAAGUCCGAGCAUCAAAAGAACAUGGUGCCAGUUAACGGCUGGUGAAGGUGACUUCAAGGAUAGUGCAACAGAAAUAGACUACCACGUUUGUGGUAAAGGUGGAAAGGUAGGGUAAGAGCCUACCGGGUGAUUGGUAACAAUCAUUGCUCUGUAAACCCCACUUGAUGCAAGGUUAAGCUUUCGCACAUGUGUGUUCUUUCACGCGAAACAAAAAUACCGCUUGAACUUGUUGGCGACGACAAGUCUGGAAAGAUGACAAUCAAAUACAGAACUCGGCUUAUAACCCAACUG